rnacentral:rRNA from 1 species
UACAGAGGUCUCAAGCGUUGUUCGGAUUCAUUGGGCGUAAAGGGUGCGUAGGUGGCGCGCUAAGUCAGGUGUGAAAUCUCGGAGCUUAACUCCGAAACUGCAUUUGAUACUGGUGUGCUUGAGGACUGGAGAGGAGACUGGAAUUCACGGUGUAGCAGUGAAAUGCGUAGAUAUCGUGAGGAAGACCAGUGGCGAAGGCGGGUCUCUGGACAGUUCCUUGAACACUGAGGCACGAAGGCCAGGGGAGGCAAACCGGG